GAUGAACGCUGGCGGCGUGCUUAACACAUGCAAGUCGAACGAAGCACCUUAUUCUGAUUUCUUCGGAAUGAAAAAUUUGGUGACUGAGUGGCGGACGGGUGAGUAACGCGUGGGUAACCUGCCUCAUACAGGGGGAUAACAGUUAGAAAUGACUGCUAAUACCGCAUAAGACCACAGCACCGCAUGGUGCAGGGGUAAAAACUCCGGUGGUAUGAGAUGGACCCGCGUCUGAUUAGGUAGUUGGUGGGGUAACGGCCUACCAAGCCGACGAUCAGUAGCCGACCUGAGAGGGUGACCGGCCACAUUGGGACUGAGACACGGCCCAAACUCCUACGGGAGGCAGCAGUGGGGAAUAUUGCACAAUGGGGGAAACCCUGAUGCAGCGACGCCGCGUGAGCGAUGAAGUAUUUCGGUAUGUAAAGCUCUAUCAGCAGGGAAGAAAAUGACGGUACCUGACUAAGAAGCACCGGCUAAAUACGUGCCAGCAGCCGCGGUAAUACGUGUGGUGCAAGCGUUAUCCGGAUUUACUGGGUGUAAAGGGAGCGUAGACGGAGUGGCAAGUCUGAUGUGAAAACCCGGGGCUCAACCCCGGGACUGCAUUGGAAACUGUCAAUCUGGAGUACCGGAGAGGUAAGCGGAAUUCCUAGUGUAGCGGUGAAAUGCGUAGAUAUUAGGAGGAACACCAGUGGCGAAGGCGGCUUACUGGACGGUAACUGACGUUGAGGCUCGAAAGCGUGGGGAGCAAACAGGAUUAGAUACCCUGGUAGUCCACGCCGUAAAACGAUGACUACUAGGUGUCGGGCAGCAAAGCUGUUCUGUGCCGCAGCAAACGCAAAUAAGUAGUCCACCUGGGGAGUACGUUCGCAAGAAUGAAAACUCAAAGGAAUUGACGGGGACCCGCACAAGCGGUGGAGCAUGUGGUGUAAUUCGAAGCAACGCGAAGAACCUUACCUGCUCUUGACAUCUCCCUGACCGGCAAGUAAUGUUGCCUUUCCUUCGGGACAGGGAUGACAGGUGGUGCAUGGUUGUCGUCAGCUCGUGUCGUGAGAUGUUGGGUUAAGUCCCGCAACGAGCGCAACCCCUAUCUUUAGUAGCCAGCGGUUCGGCCGGGUACUCUAGAGAGACUGCCAGGGAUAACCUGGAGGAAGGUGGGGAUGACGUCAAAUCAUCAUGCCCCUUAUGAGCAGGGCUACACACGUGCUACAAUGGCGUAAACAAAGGGAGGCAGAACCGCGAGGUCGAGCAAAUCCCAAAAAUAACGUCUCAGUUCGGAUUGUAGUCUGCAACUCGACUACAUGAAGCUGGAAUCGCUAGUAAUCGCGAAUCAGAAUGUCGCGGUGAAUACGUUCCCGGGUCUUGCACU
rnacentral:rRNA from 1 species